rnacentral:rRNA from 1 species
UGGGGAAUUUUGGACAAUGGGGGAAACCCUGAUCCAGCCAUCCCGCGUGUGCGAUGAAGGCCUUCGGGUUGUAAAGCACUUUUGGCAGGAAAGAAACGUCAUGGGUUAAUACCCCGUGAAACUGACGGUACCUGCAGAAUAAGCACCGGCUAACUACGUGCCAGCAGCCGCGGUAAUACGUAGGGUGCAAGCGUUAAUCGGAAUUACUGGGCGUAAAGCGUGCGCAGGCGGUUCGGAAAGAAAGAUGUGAAAUCCCAGAGCUCAACUUUGGAACUGCAUUUUUAACUACCGUGCUAGAGUGUGUCAGAGGGAGGUGGAAUUCCGCGUGUAGCAGUGAAAUGCGUAGAUAUGCGGAGGAACACCGAUGGCGAAGGCAGCCUCCUGGGAUAACACUGACGCUCAUGCACGAAAGCGUGGGGAGCAAGCAGG